AGGCAGCAGGCGCGCAAAUUACCCAAUCCAGACUUUGGGAGGUAGUGACGAGAAAUACCGGAGUAGACCAUUAAUUGGUUCACUAUCGGAAUGAACGUAAUCUAAUACCUUCGAUGAGUAGCUACUGGAGGGCAAGUCUGGUGCCAGCAGCCGCGGUAAUUCCAGCUCCAGUAGUGUAUAUCAAAAUUGUUGCGGUUAAAACGCUCGUAGUUGGAUUACAAAAGCUCUAUGAUGGCCAAGUCUAGGUUUGGUUGUUGUGGGGUUUUUUUAUCGCGAGAGCCGUAUGUGGGAUUAAAUUCUCGUGUGCGGUCACUUGCGAAAUGUGCCUUGAAUAAAGCACAGUGCUCAAAGCAGGUGUAAGCUUGAAUGUAAUAGCAUGGAACGAAUAUAUUGACCUUGUCAAGGUUGGUUGUUGGCAGUGGUCUCGAUUAAAAGGGACAUUUGAGGGCGUUAGUACUUGGUGGCGAGGGGUGAAAUCCUUAGACCCAUCAAAGACUAACUAAUGCGAAAGCAUUCGCCAAGAGUGUUUUCAUUAAUCAAGAACGAAAGUUGGAGGUUCGAAGACGAUCAGAUACCGUCCUAGUUCCAUACAGUAAACUAUGCCAACAUGGGAUUAGCCCGGUUAAUCCAGGUUGGACCCUCGGUGAAAAUUAGUGUUUCGGUUCCGGGGAGAGUGCUCACGCAAGUGCGAAAUUUAAAGAAAUUGACGGAAUG
rnacentral:rRNA from 1 species